AAAAGCCUAGUGCUAGACUUCCCGAGACGUCUAUAUCACCGUUCGAAACGUGCCACUUUUGGAGGAUGAAAGGAAAUUGCUUUUUGUUGUUUGCCUUCGUGACUUGUGGCAUCACUUUGUCCAUGUCGCUUCCGUCAGAAAGCAGAAACAAGGAAAUAUCUGCCAGGUUCUUUUCUGAUGGCCAGAGCUGGUGUCCUAAAGGACCUUGCUCCCGCGAAGACGAUCCAGUGUGUACGCCGUGUACAUGUGUAGCGACGAGUGGAAGAUAUAUGUGCUUAAACAUCAACGGCUUGCCGUGAAUAACAAGUGCAAAAUAUACUUGCUAGGAGGACUUGCGCUGUGAAAGAAAUAAAAAUUUCUUCGUUUAACCUUACUGAAGACCGCAAGGAAUUUUUG